rnacentral:rRNA from 1 species
UACGGAGGGUGCGAGCGUUGUCCGGAAUCACUGGGCGUAAAGGGCGCGUAGGUGGCCGAGCAAGGUCGCGGUGAAAGCCCGGGGCUCAACCCCGGGUCGGCCGUGGCAACUACUGGGCUGGAGCACUGUAGGGGCGGGUGGAAUUCCGGGUGUAGCGGUGGAAUGCGUAGAGAUCCGGAAGAACACCGGUGGCGAAGGCGGUCUGCUGGGCAGUAGCUGACGCUGAGGCGCGACAGCGUGGGGAGCAAACAGG